CCCAAUGUGAAGUGCCUUAACGUGACCUGCGAUGUGUAACUAAAAUAUCCCGUUGACGUCAGUGCUGUGAUUUGAAUAUAACAUUUACAAGUCUGAUUUGCCUGAAUAGUUCUAAUCUGAAUUUGUGGAGGUGACUCAGUGAAGCCUGAAUAGUUCUAAUCUGAAUUUGUGGAGGUGACUCAGUGAAGCCUGAAUAGUUCUAAUCUGAAUUUGGGAGGUGACUCAGUGAAGCCUGAAUAGUUCUAAUCUGAAUUUGUGGAGGUGACUCAGUGAAGCCUGAAUAGUUCUAAUCUGAAUUUGUGGAGGUGACUCAGUGAAGCCUGAAUAGUUCUAAUCUGAAUUUGUGGAGGUGACUCAGUGAAGCCUGAAUAGUUCUAAUCUGAAUUGAAUAGUUCUAAUCUGAAUUUGUGGAGGUGACUCAGUGAAGCCUGAAUAGUUCUAAUCUGAAUUUGUGGAGGUGACUCAGUGAAGCCUGAAUAGUUCUAAUCUGAAUUUGGGAGGUGACUCAGUGAAGCCUGAAUAGUUCUAAUCUGAAUUUGGGAGGUGACUCAGUGAAGCCUGAAUAGUUCUAAUCUGAAUUUGUGGAGGUGACUCAGUGAAGCCUGAAUAGUUCUAAUCUGAAUUUGUGGAGGUGACUCAGUGAAGCCUGAAUAGUUCUAAUCUGAAUUUGUGGAGGUGACUCAGUGAAGCCUGAAUAGUUCUAAUCUGAAUUGAAUAGUUCUAAUCUGAAUUUGUGGAGGUGACUCAGUGAAGCCUGAAUAGUUCUAAUCUGAAUUUGUGGAGGUGACUCAGUGAAGCCUGAAUAGUUCUAAUCUGAAUUUGUGGAGGUGACUCAGUGAGGCCUGAAUAGUUCUAAUCUGAAUUUGGGAGGUGACUCAGUGAAGCCUGAAUAGUUCUAAUCUGAAUUUGAGAGGUGACUCAGUGAAGCCUGAAUAGUUCUAAUCUGAAUUUGAGAGGUGACUCAGUGAAGCCUGAAUAGUUCUAAUCUGAAUUUGAGAGGUGACUCAGUGAAGCCUGAAUAGUUCUAAUCUGAAUUUGAGAGGUGACUCAGUGAAGCCUGAAUAGUUCUAAUCUGAAUUUGAGAGGUGACUCAGUGAAGCCUGAAUAGCAGGAUAUAACCCUCUUAUUAAAAUGUCCUACACUGGUUAUAUGAUAUUUGCUGUUGGUUCCUGUUGAAGAAAUGUGUAAAUUAGGGCCGGGACAAUGUCAGUACCACCGUACUCAUUAGUAUCGUGGCAAGGAAACAAAACGCCAAGCUGAUUUGAACUUCUUUAGGAAAACAGCCGUAAUGUUGGAAACAAACGUCAUUUAUGUUGUCAUCCGGAGUCACGUUGAUUUAUUUUCCAAGCUACAGCACAUUGUAUUUCAUAUACAGCAGGUUCUUAAAGGACCAAACAGUUUGGUCUGCUUCGUGUUAGAAGUUUUUGACAUGGAAAAAAUAUUGGGAUACUGGGUAUCGUUCCGUGUAAAAACCCUCCUGCUAAAUUAGUUAUAUGAUAUUAACCCUUUUGUUGUUUGUUUGUAUGGUGUAACCCUGCCUUUAAAAUGCCUCAUUCAUUAAUUAUUUAUUUUUCUCUUAAAGGUGCGGUGUGUAGCCCUGCCUUUAACCCUCUAGGCAGGGUUAACCCUGCCACUGUAACCCUACCUUUAAAAUGCCUCAUUCAUUAAUUAUUUAUUUUUCUCUUAAAGGAGCGGUGUGUAGCCCUGCCUUUAACCCUCUAGGCAGGGUUAACCCUGCCACUGUAACCCUACCUUUAAAAUGCCUCAUAAAUAAAUAAUUUUUCUCUUAAAGGUGCGGUGUGUCCCACUGUAACCCUACCUUUUAAAAUGCCUCAUUUAAUUAUUUUAUUUUAUUUUUCUCUUAAAGGUGCGGUGUGUCCCACUGUAACCCUACCUUUAAAAUGCCUCAUUCAUUAUUUAUUUUUCUCUUAAAGGAGCGGUGUGUAGCCCUGCCUUUAACCCUCUAGGCAGGGUUAACCCUGCCACUGUAACCCUGCCUUUAAAAUGCCUCAUUCAUUCAUUAUUUUUCUCUUAAAGGAGUGGUGUGUAGCCCUGCCUUUAACCCUCUAGGCAGGGUUAACCCUGCCACUGUAACCCUGCCUUUAAAAUGCCUCAUUCAUUCAUUAUUUUUCU